CAACAGGGAUUGCCUCAGUAACUGCGAGUGAAGCGGCAAAAGCUCAAAUUUGAAAUCUGGCCCGUCUCUGGCGGCCCGAGUUGUAAUUUGGAGGGGCAUUUUCGGAGCGGGCGCCGUCCUAAGUUCCUUGGAACAGGACGUCACAGAGGGUGAGAAUCCCGUGCCUGGAUGGCUGUCCCGCUCCAUGUGAAGUGUCUCCGACGAGUCGAGUUGUUUGGGAAUGCAGCUCAAAAUGGGUGGUAAAUUUCAUCUAAAGCUAAAUAUUGGCGAGAGACCGAUAGCGCACAAGUAGAGUGAUCGAAAGAUGAAAAGCACUUUGAAAAGAGAGUUAAAAAGUACGUGAAAUUGUUGAAAGGGAAGCGCUUGAGACCAGACUCAGCUGCUGGCGAUCAACGGUGCUUCUGUGCCGUGCACUCGCCAGCGGUUGGGCCAGCAUCGGUUCUGGCGGCGGGAAAAAGGCCCGGGCAAUGUGGCUCCUCUCGGGGAGUGUUAUAGGCCCAGGUGUCAUACCGCCAGCCGGGACCGAGGACCGCGCUUCGGCUAGGAUGCUGGCGUAAUGGUCUUAAGCGACCCGUCUUGAAACACGGACCAAGGAGUCUAACAUCUAUGCGAGUGUUCGGGUGGAAAACCCUUGCGCGUAAUGAAAGUGAACGGAGGUGGGAACCCCUCGGGGUGCACCAUCGACCGAUCCCGAUGUCUUCGGAGGGAUUUGAGUAGGAGCAUAGCUGUUGGGACCCGAAAGAUGGUGAACUAUGCCUGAAUAGGGUGAAGCCAGAG
rnacentral:rRNA from 1 species